rnacentral:rRNA from 1 species
UACGUAGGUGGCAAGCGUUGUCCGGAUUUAUUGGGUUUAAAGGGUGCGUAGGCGGUUCUAUAAGUCAGUGGUGAAAUACGGCAGCUCGACUGUCGAGGUGCCAUUGAUACUGCAGAACUUGAGUACAGACGAGGUAGGCGGAAUUGACGGUGUAGCGGUGAAAUGCUUAGAUAUCGUCAAGAACACCGAUAGCGAAGGCAGCUUACUAGACUGUAACUGACGCUGAGGCACGAAAGUGUGGGGAUCGAACAGG